GGCCAAGGGAAGCUCAUCAGUGGGGCUAUGAGCUGAGUGCAUCAUAUCAUUCCGUAGCAAGUUCUUUGAGAAGUCUGAGACUAAGGCCAACUGUGACCCUAAUAGAGCCACCCCUGAGCCUAGGGGUGGCGAGUUCCAGUGAGAAGAUUCGAGAAAAUAACAGCAACAUAAAAAUGAUUAUCACGGGGCUGGGGAUUUAGCUCAGCGGCAAAAGCGCCUGCCUGGCAAGCGCAAGGUCGUGAGUUCGGUUCCCGGUA
rnacentral:RNase_P_RNA from 1 species